CUUAUACCUCUUGAUCUAGACUUGAGACCAAGGAUGGACCACCUUCAAGCCCUUUGUUCCUUAAAGUCCUUGAGCCUAGCCUCCCUCCUUGCCUCCUCCACUUUGUUAGUAAGAGUGCUCCAAGGUUCUCCUUAAGUCUCCAAAGGAGAAGACCUCUAAAGAUCCACACCCACUAGUGUAGUGAGAUGGAUGGAGGAAUAACCAAAAGGGUGAAAGAUUGUUAGUAAAUUCACCCUCUAGGUGGCCGGCCUUUGUGGUUUUAGAGAGCUAUUUUCUUUUGCCUCUUUGUUGUUCAAAAACUCACAAAAACCCUAAUGAACUUUGUGCUAUAAAGUUCCUUAUAUAGACAAAAGAAACCUAGUCAACAACUUAACUAAAUAUCUCUCCCAAACCCUUUAAGUGGCCGGCCCUUUAGUGUUUGGUUUGGGCUUUGGGCUUUUAUUAUUUCAAGUCAUCCUAUGCUUAAAUAAAAGCCCAAUGGGUUUAGGCCCAAUGGGCCCAAUUAAACCCGAACGUUUCUUUAAGCCCAAAACGAUCUUUUAUCGCUUUUAUGAUUUCUUUAGACUUUCUAAAUUAAUCACAACACUUAAUCAAUCCAAUUAAUUAUUUCCAUCAUCCAUUAAUUACUCACUACAAGAGUGUAUCCGUGUACAAUCAUUUUAGGUUCUAAUUAGCAAGGCAGUGAGGUGAUUGACAUCAAUCUAAUUGAUUAUAUUUAAUCCAAUCACUUAGUGAAUUAAAACUUCAUUUUAAUUCACCUUUCUUCUUUGACGACUACAUUUAAUCAUCUAGAAGAACUCACAAGCUAUGAGUGACAUCUAACCAUAUAUCAUAGCUACCCAAGCUAAUGUAGAAGUUGUUCGGAGAACCUAUUCAGUUGGAAUUACAAUGUAAUUCGAUCCUUCUCUAAAACAAUACUCUCAAUCACAUUACUAGGGUAUGGAUAUAUUAUGUCAAACCCCUAAUGUGAUUAUUCCUUCUUAUAUGAUUCAAUUGAGUCGUAUAGGAACGCUUUCCUUUAUUACGCUCGAUACUUCGGCCAAAGAUUCCCGAAUCAUAUCUUAGCGUAUUCUUCCUCUCUAAUCGAGGAUUAGAGAUUCCUUAUUGCGCAUUCACUUGCCUUCAUGACUAAGUGGCUUAACCCCAAUUAUGCCGUGGACAUCCACGAAUGGGGUGACUUUGACAUAAUCAAAGAUUAAGUACUUAGCCAUAAGACAACGACGAUGCCUCAGGUCAAAGGACUACUUACAUUAUUCCAACCAUUAGAGUUACUUGCUUGACAUGUGAGUAGACCUCCAUGCAAGUACUCUCGUUCGAUUGUGUUCAGUGAACUCAUUCUCUUAAUGAGCACCUACAUACUUGUCUUAGUGUCACAACACGAAUGGGAUGAGACUUUCCAUCCUUCCAUUUGAAGCGGACACAGUAUGUACCGGUCUAAGCAUUGUCAGUUUCCCUUCGACAAUCCAAUGACUAGGAACCUUUUUGGACAUGUUAUGUGAAGAAGGUCUCUGUAGUCUAACAUCAUUAGAUUACUUCUUCAAUCGAUCCAUUGUCCAUGGAUACACUAUUUAGGACAUAUAUCGUUUAUUGAGAUAGUCCUAAUUCGUGUUUUUUCCAUUUGAUGUAUAAGAGUCAUCCAUACAUCGAUUCAUUUGUCCUGAAAGGUUUCUUCCAAAGAUUGACUUUCAGGGCAUAUUUCCAACAAUCUCCCACUUGCACUAAAGUCAAUUACUAGUGUAUCUUAUACAUCUUGUUGAGAGAGCUUAUGCUCGUAGGUUAACUUGGUUAUGUAUUAAUCCCUUUUAUUAUUUAAAAGGGAUUUUCUUAUCAAAUGUUUCCAAAACAUUUGAUGAUGUCUCUUUAGUGUGUUCGAAUACUUUGAUGAGACCUUGAUUCCAUGGCUUGAGCUAUCGCCCCAUUACGUCGUAGUACCCUACUGACGACCUUAUGGUUUGGAUUCAAUCAUUGGUUCUAAAAGAACCCCUUCCAUUCAAAACACCUUUUUGAAGCAGUUUCUAAAACUAUAUAUCAUCAUAUAUUUCGUUUGUAUACUUCAUACAAACUUUGCUCCAACCUUGAGACCAUUGUAGUACAACACUAACAAUCAUUCAUAUGAUUAGUACUUCAUCCAUUAUGAAGUUCCAUUUGAUAAAAUGGCUUAUUUUCACUUUGGUUAACAACCUAAGUGAAUGCACGCUUCCAGAGUCCCACUUUGAUGUUUCUUUCUUAAAGGCAAUAAUACUCUUUCAGUUGCUUUGGUUCUGAUCCUGGGAUUUAGUAAUAUCUUAUAGUGACAACCCUUAUGGUUCUUCACUUUUGGAUAUCUACUUCACAAGUCAAUACAUGUGUCCCUUUUUGUGAUUUUAUGACACAUUCAUUAUAAGGGUUAUGAAAGUGAUUUCCUAUCACAUAGGAAAAUGCUUUCUUAAAUCUACAACAUUUGAGAUUUAAUUCCCAUAUAACAUUAUUGAGAUAGCCUUGCUAUAUCAAUAAGUCCAAUUUCAAGUCUAUACUUCAAAAUUGACCAUGUCACGUUUUGUAUUUUCUCGAGUAACAUCUAUGUUUUAUCAAGUCUAUCGAAUAGACUUUAUUCACAUCUUGUUGCUCAAAUUAUGACAUCACUCCCACUGGCCUUGUUGUAACUUAGAAUUCAUUCAAAAAUAACAAUUAUAUUUUCUUGAUUUGAAUGCAUAUUGCUCCCACUAACUUAAAUGAAUCACACACAAAAGAAUUCCUUCUCAAGUAAUUCCAUUUGAAAUGUGUGACUUGUUCCAUUAAGUCUAUUCAUUUAAAUUAUAUGGUGUCAUACACCAUACUUCAAGUUUUAGUCAUACUAAGACCUUUAAUGUAGUCAUAUAAGAAUUAUCCAAGUCUUUAGUGGAAGCAUGGCUCCUACUAAGGAUAUAGAAGCUCAACCAUUCCUUCUAGGUGGUUGAUAUAAUUCUUUAUUAAAACUACAUAGAGCAAUAUAGUUACAUGAGAUGUUGAAUUUGGUUUGUCUUGUUGUUAACCAUAUGUUGUGACUCAUUUUGAAACUUAUCCCCUUUUGUUUCAUCAACUUGUCCAUAUGCUUGGUUAUUUAGCUUGUUCUCAUAAAAGAGAAUUAUGGACAACUCCCAACAUAUAACAAUUUUAUGCUAGGUUGACGAAACCAACAUUCAAAGACUAUUCUUUAGAAUGUCACACAACAUAGAAUUUUAACGUUUUGAAGAGCUUGAGUCUUUUAACAAUUAAAAUUGCAAACUCUUAAUAAUUGUCAAAUACUAUUAUUCUUUAGACAACUAUAAACCAAUCAUAUUCAAGUUUAUAUCAAUUUUCACACCUCCCACUAUUUCUCAUGACUUUAAUGAGAAAUCAUUUCAUUUAUUCAAAAUGUAUGAAAGUGGAGUAUAUUGGAAGAAGACAUUGUGUAGUAGCUUUAAAACAUUUCAAGCUUAUUUGUUUCAAUCUUCACUAAGUUAAUGUCUUGUUAUUAAGUGACUAAAGUCUUUAAACAUUUUAUAGAUUUAGACACUUCUUUCUUGGUUUAAUCAUUAACACAAUUGACAUUUUAAAACCUUUUAAAGAAUGCCCAAUUAGUUGUUCAAAAUUACUAAUUGAAUCAAGAGUGAUCUUGAUCAUUGUGUUUCAAGUGAUAACCAUAUAAGAAACGUUUUUCUUAUUACUUAUAUCAUUAUAAUGUGAUCUUCCUUUUCUUCAAGAAAGGAUACUCUAGACUUUUGUCAAUUCAUAUAGAACUCAUAGGUAGACAAUUGGAACCAAAUCUAAAGAUUCAUUGUAUCCUUUUAUGUCCUACAUGUGAGAUCUAUCCAUAAUUGAUAAAUCUUUAAGUUUGGUUAUCACAUUACAAUAAGUGAUAUAACUCUUGUAUCUCAACUAGGAUACAACAAGACAAUUUUCAAUUCAUAACACUACUUUAAGGAAAUAGUAUAUUAAAAAGGCAUUCUUCACAUUACAUUAAUAUGAUAUUUCAAACAUUCAUAAUGUUUAAUACAAAAGUAUUAGCUCUAUACAUGUAGAGACUAAUAUAAAUACCUUUAUACAUUUAGGCACUAUAGUGGUCUUUCAUCAUAUGAAGCCACAUAAUAAGUUCUUAAUAAAAUAAGAAAGUUUAAAGACAAUCUUUAAUGCCUAACAAACUUCCUAAGUAGUAAGCAAAAAAUAUAGUGGCCGAAUCCUUCACCACUUUUUCCUUGCUUGUUCAUCUUCUACUUGGCUUCUCCACCUAUAUACAAUUAUACAAGUGAUUAGCUCUUUAUAUCAAAUAUAAAUAUUUAGAAGAUCUAACAUUUAGAAUUGAAGAUAAGAAUAUAAACCAUACCUUGUGGCUUGUCCUUAAGACUUGCAAGGUAUAACCUGCAAUUCCUCCUCCAAUGCCCUUCCUUUCCACAAUGGUGGCAAGUCCCUUUGGGCUCUUUUGCCUUCUUUUUCCUCACUCCUCCUUUCGGCUUAGGAGAGGGUGGCUUCUUCUCAUUCCCUUUGCCUUUGCCUUGCGGCUUGGCCUUGGAAGAGGAUGGCUUGUUGUAGACUACUGCAGAAGUCCCUACAACAUUCUCUUUCUUCAUAGUCUUCUCGGCAGUUACUAACAUAUUUAGUAACUCAGAGAGAGUACUAUCCAUCUUAUUCAUAUUGUAGUUCAUUACGAACUGCGCAAAUGAAUCAGAAAAAGAAGCCAAUAUGAAGUCCUGGGCCAAUUCCCCGUCAAGUGGAGUACCAAGGUUCUCCAAUUGUUCAAUGAAUCCUAUCAUCUUCAGUACAUGUUGAUGCACUGGAGCCCCCUUGACCAUCUUGAUCUUCACAAGUUCACAAACAGUGCUAAAGCGACGGUUGCGCGUUCCUUCACCAUAUAACUCCGUAAGAUGGAGUAUUAUGGAAGAUGCACUGUCCAUGCCCUCGUGCUGUCUCUGUAGCUCCCCAUUCAUGGAAGCCAACAGAUAGCACUUGGCUUGUGUGUCAUCCUCAACGUGCUUGUCAAACUUAGCACGUUCAUCCUCAGUAGCCCCAGGGCCGAGAGGUAUGUGAGGUGGAGCCUUGUCUAGUACGUAGACAAUCUUCUCCAAUGUUAGGAGAAGCUUGACAUUACGAUACCAUGAUGGGAAAUUGUGCCCCUCUAGGCAAUGUUUGUCGAGUAUUUUCGCGAGUGUGCUUCCAACCAUAUCUAAAUACAUAAACAAAAAUAAUUAGUUUGAUUGUUGAUUAAGUCAAACGAUUCGGGUCUUUAAACCGAAUGACACCACCCACCAUUUUUGGCAAAUUCCAUAUCCCUCAAGAUGGAAUCCGGGAGUUUUCAAAGAAAGCUCCUAGCGGGUUAUGGGAGGCUCACUAUUACCAAGCCCACCUCACGAUGAUACGAUGUUGGCCAACAAAAAUAAUAAUGAGAGGGUACAAUUACCCAUUCACAAAAACUUCUUGUGAUUACCCAUCUUUUUGGCCUCUAGAGAGUAAUGCCUCACGAUGAUACGAUGUUGGCAUUAUUUCUCUUAGUUAAGUUCUUUCCCACCAUGCCGGUUUAGAUAGGGGUUCAAGCAUGACCUCACGAUGAUACGAUGUUGGCCACACUCGUUGCCUACCUUAACCUCAUCAAAUGUUUUAAAUAAACUCCUCCUGAGUAUAAGCAUACACUUUGCACUCCCCCAUGAUAGGGUGAAGGCGAUGUACAAGUCAUAAACGAUUGGAGCCUACCACGGUGGAAGGCCACGAAAAAGUGUUCAAAGCACUCUUACGCUUUCAACUUAAUAUUGUAUAUUGGUUGAGGGAUUUUAAGGUCUCAUCAAUUUUAUUUAUUUAAUCAUAUUCAAAUAAAUAAUGUCCUAUUACAACUACUAGUCCAAAGUUAAUGAAAUUAGUAGCAUAUGAUAUCCCCACUAUUCGUUUUCAUAAAACAAAUCAAUAUCAAAACAUUUUUCAAAAUAUUGGAGAUAUAUAUAACUACUAAUUAUUUUCAUUAUAGUUUAGUAGCGUAUGAUACUCCCACUAUUUGUUUUAAGAAAAAUAAAUCAAUAUCAAAAACUAAUUUUUCAAAUAUUGGAAGUAACUACUACUACUAAGGUUUUGCAUUCCUUUGAAAUUUGACUUUAUAGUUAUCUUAGGCUCUUGGAUGACCAUGGACUUAUUAGGUUAUUGCAACAACGAGCCAACAUUGUUGAAUAUAAACUCGGGGAGGUUGUGUCAACUUAAUUACGUGCUUUUCAAUCCAAUUAAAACAUUUUCAUUGAGCCAUUAGAAAUGAAAGACAAUCAUUCAUUGCUAAUUAGGGCAUUGGACCCAUUUAAUCUUUAAUCUCAUGUCAAAACCCUCUUUUAGUUAUGUCUCCUUACCAAUAGUUAAAGAAACUCUAGUCUAGCACUAGAGGGAAUCAACUAACUAAAAGAGAUUAAGAAAUAAUAAGAAUUACAAACCGAUUUGUACAAAUUCCUACAAAUUACACAUACUAAGAAGGAGAGAUAGAUUAAUGUCAAAUGUGACAAGGUCCAUUAAAAACAGUAAUUAAAACACAUUCCCAAGGUUCAAACAAUUUGAUUUUAGCGCCUUAUUUCAUAGCUCAAUUAUCGUUAAGGCAUAAGUCCAUAGUCACCCUUUUCUAACUACUUAAUCACAUUAAAUAAUCAAAAAAUGGAAUGCAACAUGAACAUUUAGAUUUAGCGCAUAUGGGCAUAAUAUAAUGAUGAGUUUAAACAACUAACAAAAUUAAAAUCAAAUAUUUUAACUUUCUAGUUAGUAGGGGCCUAAAUGCAAAUAUGAAAAAGUUAGGGGUCAAACCGUAAAUACUCAAAAGUAUAAAAUAUCAACUUUUCAAAGAUUACAAAAUAGCCCCACAAGUGGAUAAAUCCACUAGGGGAGGCCGGCCACAUUAAGGGAGAUGGGAAGUCUCUUACACAUUCUUACACAACAUGCAUUAAUUCCACAUUAUGUAGAAAAAAUUAAAUUUUGCUUGUCACUUGGUUUUGCUUUGAAGACUUUAGUGAAAAGAGUGAUGGAAAUCCUCCUAGUCAAGUCUAGGGUUUUAUAAAUUUAUGAUAUGGUUAUGGAUGGUAUGAACAUCAUCCAAAACCACAAAACAAUGCAUGAAAACCAUAUAAAACCAUUUUCACCAAAAACCAACCAUGAACACCAAGAACAAAACCAUGAACAUAUUUUCAAGAUUUGUGUAUUCUUGGUGAUUUUUCAAACCCAAAAACAAAAGUGACAAGGUUUCUACUUUCUAGCUUUAAAAGGAUGUGAGAGUGGUUUACAAUAAAACACAAACACAACCCAACAAACCACCCCAAAACCGUGCCCUCCCUUUGGUUCAAAAACCCCAAAUUUUGUUCAUAACUUACUCUUCAUUCAUGCAUCUAAAACACCUUUUUACAUGCAUAUCUUUUUCAACUCUUGAUUUAUAUUUUUCAACCAUUGAAAAACAAAAGAUAAACAUACUUUAAAUAAAGAAAUAAUAUGUCAAAUUAGUUCAAAACUCAAUUUUCAUUCAUGCAUACAAAACAUCUUUUGCAUACAUAUCUUUCUCAACUAUUGACUAACAUUUUUCAACUAUUGAAAAACAAAAGAUAAACAUAUUUUGAAUGAAGCAAUAAUUAUGUCAUACAUAAUAUUAAUACCCAUAUGCAUAAAAUCCAAAAAGACACAUUAUAUAUAAACCUUUGGCUCUGAUACCACUUGAAGGGAAAAUUAUGAGCUUAACACAUGGGAUUUCUAAAUGACUAGCAUGCAUAUACAAUUCAAGAUUUAUAUACAUAAGCAACGGAAGCAAUUUAUCAAAUAAUAUCAAAGCUAUAGUCAUGCAAAUCCCCUUCAAGGUUCAUAGGUUUAUAUAUAAUGCAUCAAAACAUUUUAGUAAAGAACAAAGUGUAGGUUUAGUCUUAUACCUCUUGAUCUAGACUUGAGACCAAGGGUGGACCACCUCCAAGCCCUUUGUUCCUUAAAGUCCUUGAGCCUAGCCUCCCUCCUUGCCUCCUCCACUUUGUUAGUAAGAGUGCUCCAAGGUUCUCCUUAAGUCUCCAAAGGAGAAGACCUCUAAAGAUCCACACCCACUAGUGUAGUGAGAUGGAUGGAGGAAUAACCAAAAGGGUAAAAGAUUGUUAGUAAAUUCACCCUCUAGGUGGCCGGCCUUUGUGGUUUUAGAGAGCUAUUUUCUUUUGCCUCUUUGUUGUUCAAAAACUCACAAAAACCCUAAUGAACUUUGUGCUAUAAAGUUCCUUAUAUAGACAAAAGAAACCUAGUCAACAACUUAACUAAAUAUCUCUCCCAAACCCUUUAAGUGGCCGGCCCUUUAGUGUUUGGUUUGGGCUUUGGGCUUUUAUUAUUUCAAGUCAUCCUAUGCUUAAAUAAAAGCCCAAUGGGUUUAGGCCCAAUGGGCCCAAUUAAACCCGAACGUUUCUUUAAGCCCAAAACGAUCUUUUAUCGCUUUUAUGAUUUCUUUAGACUUUCUAAAUUAAUCACAACACUUAAUCAAUCCAAUUAAUUAUUUCCAUAAUCCAUUAAUUACUCACUACAAGAGUGUAUCCGUGUACAAUCAUUUUAGGUUCUAAUUAGCAAGGCAGUGAGGUGAUUGACAUCAAUCUAAUUGAUUAUAUUUAAUCCAAUCACUUAGUGAAUUAAAACUUCAUUUUAAUUCACCUUUCUUCUUUGACGACUACAUUUAAUCAUCUAGAAGAACUCACAAGCUAUGAGUGACAUCUAACCAUAUAUCAUAGCUACCC
rnacentral:lncRNA from 1 species